rnacentral:misc_RNA from 1 species
UAGGGUGCGAGCGUUGUCCGGAUUUAUUGGGCGUAAAGGGCUCGUAGGUGGUUGAUCGCGUCGGAAGUGUAAUCUUGGGGCUUAACCCUGAGCGUGCUUUCGAUACGGGUUAACUUGAGGAAGGUAGGGGAGAAUGGAAUUCCUGGUGGAGCGGUGGAAUGCGCAGAUAUCAGGAGGAACACCAGUGGCGAAGGCGGUUCUCUGGGCCUUUCCUGACGCUGAGGAGCGAAAGCGUGGGGAGCGAACAGGC